rnacentral:rRNA from 1 species
CGCAGCCGCGGUAAUUCCAGCUCCAAUAGCGUAUAUUAAAGUUGCUGCAGUUAAAAAGCUCGUAGUUGAAUUUCGGGACCAUCAUGUUGGUCAUGCCUCAGUACGUACUGGCAUUGUUAGUUUCUACCUUCUGACGAACCAUGAUGUCAUUUAUUUGGUGUUGUGGGAAAUCAGGACUGUUACUUUGAAAAAAUUAGUGUUUAAAGCAGGCUCACGCUUGAAUGCAUUAGCAUGGAAUAAUGAAAUAGGACGUUUGAUUCUAUUUUGUUGGUUUCUAGGAUCGACGUAAUGAUUAAUAGGGAUAGUUGGGGGCAUUAGUAUUCAAUUGUCAGAGGUGAAAUUCUUGGAUUUAUUGAAGACUAACUACUGUGAAAGCAUUUGCCAAGGAUGUUUUCAUUAAUCAAGAACGAAAGUUAGGGGAUCGAAGACGAUCAGAUACCGUCGUAGUCUUAACCAUAAACUAUGCUGACUAGGGAUCAGAUGAUGUUAAUUUUUUAAUGACUCAUUCGGCGCCUUACAG